UCUUCUGUUUGGAGAACCCUAGCCUUCCUGCCUACACUUUAAAAGGAGAAAUUUUAUGGUAUGUGAAUUAUAUGCCCAUUAAAAAUAUAAAUACUUUAUGUUGAAUUACUUGACUAGAACCUGAUUGCUAUAGUAUUAAUCAAGGAGAGUGUGGUAGCUCAUUUUACAUGUCAACUUGGCUGGGUCACAAUACUCAAACAUGUAGUCAAAUGUUAUUCUGAGAAUUUCUAUAAAGGUGUUUUGGGUGAGACUAACAUUUAUAAUAAAUCAGUGGACUUUGAGUAAAGCAGAUUGCUUAUUCAAUCAAGUGAAAGCUUGCAUAGAAUAAAAAGACAAGUCUUUGAGCAAGAGAGAAUUCUCCAGCAAACUGCCUUUGGGCUUCCUCUGCCAGUCUCUUCCUGAUUCUACAGCGGACAGCCUUCAGACUUGAACAACUUCUCUCCUGGGUCUUCAGCCUACCGGCCUACCGUGAAGAUUUUGGACUUGCCAGCUUCCAAAACUUAUUCCUUGUGAUAAAUUUCUCUCUAUAUAGACACAUACAUCCUGUUGGUUUCAUUUCUCUGGAGAAUCCUAUUAUGAAGGUGGUCCCAGGGAGAGGAGAAUGAAGCUUGCUGACACCUUAACAGGUGGUGCAAUGGUAAAGAAUCCAUGUGCCAAUGCAGGAGACACAGGAGAGGUGAGUGAGAUCUUUGGGUGGGCAAAAUCCCCUGGAGUGGGAAAUGGCAGCCCACUCCAGUAUUCUUGCCUGGGAAAUCCCAUGCACAGACAAGCCUGGCAGGCUACAGUCCAUGGGGUCACAAAGGAGCCAGACACGACUGAGCACACACUCAGCAGCAUGCUUAUAUCAAAGAAAGAAAGAUAAAUAAAGCAAAUGUGGAACAAUAUCAACAGUUGGAAACUCUAUUAUGAUAACUGUGUUUGAAAUAUUUCAAAAUAAAAAUGUAGAGAAGGUGGAAAUAAAAUAACAUUCAGAAUAUACAAGUAACUCUUGAAAAAUCAACAAUAAAAAGAUGAAUGAUAUGGAAAAAUGAGCAAAGGACACAGCUGGCAUUUCUCAGACAGGGAACCUAAUUGUAACAAGUACCUGAAGAAAUCUUUAAUGUCAUUGGUAAUCACAAAAAGCAAAAAAUAAAGCCAAAAUGAGAUACACAUUACAUCCAGCAGGUUGACAAAAAUAAGAAAGCCGUGUUAUGCCAAACGUUGGGGAGGCAAUGGGGAACCAGAAACCAUGAUUUCUAAGGUUUUAAAGGGUAGUCUGGCAGGGCAUAGGUGUACCCUAGCGCCCAGCCAUCUGCUCUCAAAAGCCAGAGAACCUCACUGGAACCCUUGUACUAGGAUGUAAGAUGGUCAUCAUAGUAUUGCUUAUCUUAGGGAGGAUGUGAAGGCACCUACGGCCAUCCCCAGGGGACUGGAUCAGGCAAAUGAGGUAGACACCUACUGGUUGGGGUCCACUUUCUACCCAAGCCUUAUUAGAAUUAGAAGUCAGGACUUCUAUAAGAGAAAGGGCCAGAAAACAGGAGGAAGGGGGGACCUUCUGGAAGGAUUCAGGACUCAGGGGUCUGGAAUUAGUUUGAGUUGAGGAAAAUAUAAUUAUAUUUAUUGCAUGUUUAAAUUUACAAGUAGAUAUUCACCCUUGCUACACUGUCAUUAGCAGCUAUUAGACUCACUAACUCCCAGGAGCCAAAUGGAAAGAUAAUGCUUAACCCAAAAAGAGUGGAUUGGUAGCGGUGGAAUCUUUGGCAGAGGACAGUCUAAUGGGGGGAUAUUUUUGCAUGAGAAACCCAUGGUGCAGCACAUGUGAAAUUUUAUGCAUGGCCUAAAAAAGAUUUUCAGAAAAUCUAGAGCUUCUUUUUCUUAAGCGAAAAGUGUAACUGUGUCCUAAAAAUAAAUAUCCACUGUUUAGAUGGAUGCUAGCAAGGUCUAAGCAGUGUAUGUGAAGGUCUUUUCAGGGAAGAAAAAUAAAUCUGUGUUCAUUUACUGUGUAGAAAAAAAAAAUCCCUCAAGUUUUAAAAGAUUAAUGCAUCAGUUCUUUUUGCAAGUGUCGAUUAUUAUCUUGUAGCACUCAGAGGAAUUUAAAAUUCCAAUGCCUUUGUCUCUCUUGAUGUAAAAUAAGGGGCUGAUAUUGAACAAGCUAUAACCAAGGGUGAGGACAUAGAGUAUUCUCUGUCCAGCAUGAAAGGCAUCUUUGCUUGUUGAGUUUAUGCAGGGAUAAAACCUUGGGAAGAGAACUCUCUGAGCAGUGAGCAUCUUCUGAGAAGAACCUGUUCUCUUGAGCCCCACCCUGUUCCCAUGGGAGUCCAGGCAGAGGGCUCCUAGGAAGAGGGCCAGGGUGGGAAGGAGAGAUGAACUUGGACUGAGCUGAAACCACAUGUCAAGGGCUGGACUAAGUAUCCUGUGAGGUCUGGCUUGUAUUAAUAUUUCUCACACUUGCCCUCGUGAAGCAGGCCAUCGUUCCCACCCAUCUUACAGAUAAAAACACUGAGUCCAGAGGGAUUAAAACAGUUGGCCCAAGGUCACACAGCUAGUUCAUGAGCAUGCUAGGAUCCCAUCCCGGGUGGAAUUUUCACACACUGAGCUGCCACACUCAAACAAAAACUGAAAAAUAUUUUGAAGCUUUAUACCAGGACUCACUAGGGCUUCAGCUAGUUUGUCUGAGCUUGUCUUAAAGAUGUCUCCCACUCUUCUUAAGAUGCUUUGGCAUUCCAAUGCAGUCAGCAGAAAAUAGCUGUAGGAACAAUUACUGUCCGAAAUUGAGUCUGCAAAUUUCAGGUCAUUCAGAUCUCCAUUCCAUAUGCAGACUUUAUUAAUACCCUAGCUUCAGGUUCAAAAUGUCAUGUUCACUGAAAAAUUGGAAAAAAAAAAAAAAAACACACAAAAAAACAGUCUGUUGUAGCUAUUGGGAGCUCUUUCCAAGUGAGGCUCAGCUGCCGGGGACACUUAACAAUUGCCCAAAGAGAUGGAGUUGGAGGAGAUGCAGUCUGGCUUCCAAACCUUUAAUAGGCUAUGGUUUUGAGGCUGUUUGCCUCUAACCUUUCAAAAUUCCUGCUCUGCAGGGAGGAAGAGGCAUCAACUCGAGAUCAAGGUUGAUGAAAAGUUGAAUAUUCAAACUGACAUUCACCAAGAAUGAUGAGAAAGGGAGCUUUAACGGCAUAACAAACGAUUCUCCUGAAAGAAAAUGUCAGGCAGGCUAUUUUUUUUCUUGGACUUUCUUUCCUCAUCAUCUCCGCUCUCCCCCACCCCCCAAUCCACCCACACACACUUAAAUUUUGGCUUAUUUAAACUUCAGGAGAGUUGCCAGCCAGGCAGAAAGAAGUGAAAUUAGGACGAUUCCAAAGCCUUGGUUUCCAGACACUAAUAAAUUAGGUGAAUGAUAAGGCAUGGGUGAAAAUCUGCAUCGGGGCCAAUUUAAAAGUGAUUCUUCCUGCCUGAGUCAGCACUGGCUUAGUGGGGCUUGGGGUCGUGGUAGAGAAAUCUCUCCGGCUGUCUGUGCUCUGAGUUCUGGCUUAUCUUGGGAUGGAGAGGUGAAAUCACACCCUGAAGUGGAUUCAGUGUAAUGAGGGCCAACAGAAUUGUUCUGCUUCCAGAUGAAAUGUUUGUUUCAAACAGAUCAGCUUUGCAAGGACGUCGCUGAAAACCUCAACUGUUCUAUUUGAAGAUAAAAAGUCUGUGUGCACUUAAUCUGCGGCUCAUUUGGCUUCGCCUGGUGUUGAAUUUUAUGUGAUUAUAAGGCCCUCCCUUGGGAUUUUUCUUCAAAGAGGGAAAUGACUCAUGUGCUAUGGCCUUGUUAUUUCCAGGAGAGUGGCAAGUUGUCACAAUAAAGGGUCUAAAUUUUAAUGUUUCAAA